GAGUUUGAUCGUGGCUCAGAAUGAACGCUGGCGGCAUGCCUAACACAUGCAAGUCGAACGAAGGCUUCGGCCUUAGUGGCGCACGGGUGCGUAACGCGUGGGAAUCUGCCCCUUGGUUCGGAAUAACAGUUGGAAACGACUGCUAAUACCGGAUGACGACGUAAGUCCAAAGAUUUAUCGCCGAGGGAUGAGCCCGCGUAGGAUUAGCUAGUUGGUGUGGUAAAGGCGCACCAAGGCGACGAUCCUUAGCUGGUCUGAGAGGAUGAUCAGCCACACUGGGACUGAGACACGGCCCAGACUCCUACGGGAGGCAGCAGUGGGGAAUAUUGGACAAUGGGCGAAAGCCUGAUCCAGCAAUGCCGCGUGAGUGAUGAAGGCCUUAGGGUUGUAAAGCUCUUUUACCCGGGAUGAUAAUGACAGUACCGGGAGAAUAAGCUCCGGCUAACUCCGUGCCAGCCGCCGCCGUAAG
rnacentral:rRNA from 1 species